ACGUCUUCAAUGAACUUAAUGCUCGCACUCAGGGUUGCUCUUUUUGUUCGUAUGUUUUUCCAUCUCUUGCGCGUGUGCGUUUGCGUGUGUUUCUUCGCCUUCUUCUUGUAGCGCGUCGAUGAAGCCCUUCUUGUCUCUCUCUCUCAUCUCUAUGUUUGCGUGACGUCUCUCGCCACACCGCAGCCCGUGACGAAGAUCGACAUCUUUGUUUUCCACUUAUCGGCAGGCACUCACGCAUAUGCGUGUUAUCCUGUUCUCAGCAGCCAAGGCACCUUUCCGUUUCGUGCCACAUGAUUGUGUUUCCAUCCAAAACACUAUACGAUAACCGACUCCAUCGCCAACACCCUCGUGGCAGCUCAUGAUGCGCCGUUGAGAGGUGGCGACUCAUUCUAGGAGCUCUCCUCUCUAUCGCUUUUCGGAUAUCUUUGUACCAAGCCACUGCUCACAGCCCGCCGUUGAUGCAGCAUUCUUUUCAAGUAAAUAGCUCCACUGAUAUCAGUCGCUUGACCACAGAUUCCAUCUUUCGCCCCUUUCAUCAGCAGAACAUCGCUUUCGUCUGCUUCGGCCUCCCCCUCCCAACGUCGUCUUCGAUGCCCUCCCCCCACCCUUCUCCACCCUUUUCCCCCUUUUACUCUGCAAG
rnacentral:misc_RNA from 1 species